rnacentral:rRNA from 1 species
GACCGGAGAGAUUCAUCGUCAUUCCGCGGCGCGUCGUGCCCCCGCUCGAUGCUGUCCCCCUCGGGGGGCGGUACGACGGAGGUCGACAGCGUCCGUGGACGGCGUGCACUUCUCUCUCAGUAAGACAUCGCGACCCGUUCGAUGUACGUCUACGCCCCGCACGGGAGCCCGGCGGCACUCGCUGCCGUCGGACCGAGCGGCGGCCGGCCUACUGUCGGACGGUAUAAAGAUUUGAACCGCGCACGCGCUACGCGCGUCCGGCACGACGCAAUAUGUCGCCGCACUGCGGUCCUGCCUCGCGGCGGUUCGCGGUGCUGUGGCGUAUGUUGUCGCAGCCGUAUAGUCUCGGACUGUGCGCGUCUCGGUCUGCGAUGAUUCAGUUUCGGGCACUCGCAGGACCCGUCUUGAAACACGGACCAAGGAGUCUAGCAUGUGUGCGAGUCAUUAAGAUUUGAAAACUGAAAGGCGCAACGAAAGUGAAGGCGUGUGCUCCGCACGCGCUCAGGGAGGAUGGGGUGCGAUCUCGGUCGCGCUCUCGCACUCC